rnacentral:rRNA from 1 species
AACGAACGCUGGCGGCAUGCCUAACACAUGCAAGUCGAACGAGACCUUCGGGUCUAGUGGCGCACGGGUGCGUAACGCGUGGGAACCUGCCCUUAGGUUCGGAAGAACUCCCCGAAAGGGGUGCUAAUACCGGAUAAUGUCUUCGGACCAAAGAUUUAUCGCCUUUGGAUGGGCCCGCGUUGGAUUAGCUAGUUGGUAGGGUAAAAGCCUACCAAGGCGACGAUCCAUAGCUGGUCUGAGAGGAUGAUCAGCCACACUGGGACUGAGACACGGCCCAGACUCCUACGGGAGGCAGCAGUGGGGAAUAUUGGACAAUGGGCGAAAGCCUGAUCCGGCAAUGCCGCGUGAGUGAUGAAGGCCUUAGGGUUGUAAAGCUCUUUUACCCGGGAUGAUAAUGACAGUACCGGGAGAAUAAGCUCCGGCUAACUCCGUG